GGAGGGUAUAGCUCAGUGGUAGAGUGCAUGCCUAGCAUGCAUGAGGUCCUGAGUUCAAUUCCCAGUACCUCCA
rnacentral:tRNA from 1 species